AAUUUAGUUAUACCCUUGCAACUAACAAAUAGAAGAAACUUCAUUCUUAAUAAUUUAGUUUGUUUUCUUCUUUGUAACCAAAAUAAUAAGUUGAGAUUAUGCAUUUUAUUACACACUCUAAAGUGUAUUGCUAGAGUGGUUGGAUCCACUUAUGAAAUUGAUGAGUAUUCAAGAAGGAAUAUAAUUAAAUUAAAAUAUAUGUUAUCUUACACCUACCCGGCUCAUGUUAGCAAUGAGCAUCUCCUCUCUCGAUUACACACACUUUCUCUUUCUCUUUCUGCGCAACUUGUGAUUAUACUUUUUCCCAAUUCCCUUUCAAUUUGCGUUUUUUCAGGGUUUUUGCUUGCCAUCAACAAUUUCCUUUAUUUAUUGUGA